rnacentral:tRNA from 1 species
GUCCCCAUCGUCUAGUGGCCUAGGACGUCGGCCUCUCACGCCGGGAACAGGGGUUCAAACCCCCUUGGGGACGCCA